GACAGAGGGUGCAAACGUUGUUCGGAAUUACUGGGCGUAAAGCGCGUGUAGGCGGCUCGGAAAGUCGGAUGUGAAAGCCCUGGGCUUAACCUAGGAAGUGCAUUCGAAACUCCCGAGCUUGAGUUCUGGAGAGGAAGGCAGAAUUCUCGGUGUAGAGGUGAAAUUCGUAGAUAUCGAGAGGAACACCGGUGGCGAAGGCGGCCUUCUGGACAGUGACUGACGCUGAGACGCGAAAGCGUGGGGAGCAAACAGGG
rnacentral:rRNA from 1 species